UACAGAGGGGGCAAGCGUUAUUCGGAAUUAUUGGGCGUAAAGGGCGCGUAGGCGGCUUUGCAAGUGGCGGGUGAAAUCCCUCGGCUUAACCGAGGAACUGCCUGUCAAACUGCAUGGCUUGAGACCAGGAGAGGUGAGUGGAAUUCCCAGUGUAGCGGUGAAAUGCGUAGAUAUCGGGAAGAACACCCGUGGCGAAGGCGGCACUCUGGGACGGUACUGACGCUGAGACGCGAAAGCGUGGGGAGCGAACAGG
rnacentral:rRNA from 1 species